rnacentral:tRNA from 1 species
GCCUGGGUGGCUCAGCGGUUGAGCAUCUGCCUGCGGCUCAGGUCAUGAUCCCACAGUCUUGGGAUCAAGUCCCACAUCAGGCU